rnacentral:rRNA from 1 species
UACAGAGGGUGCUAGCGUUGUUCGGAAUCAUUGGGCGUAAAGGGCGUGUAGGCGGUUUGUUAAGUCAUGUGUGAAAUCCCUCGGCUCAACCGGGGAAGGACGCAUGAAACUGGCAAGCUAGAGUACCAAAGAGGGGGGUGGAAUUCCCGGUGUAGCGGUGAAAUGCGUAGAGAUCUGCAAGAAUACCCGUGGCGAAGGCGGCCAGUUGGGCCGGUUCUGACGCUGAGGCGCGAAAGCGUGGGGAGCAAACAGG